rnacentral:rRNA from 1 species
AGUGAACGCUGGCGGUAGGCCUAACACAUGCAAGUCGAACGGCAGCACAGUAAGAGCUUGCUCUUACGGGUGGCGAGUGGCAGACGGGUGAGGAAUACAUCGGAAUCUACUUUUUCGUGGGGGAUAACGUAGGGAAACUUACGCUAAUACCGCAUACGACCUACGGGUGAAAGCAGGGGAUCUUCGGACCUUGCGCGAUUGAAUGAGCCGAUGUCGGAUUAGCUAGUUGGCGGGGUAAAGGCCCACCAAGGCGACGAUCCGUAGCUGGUCUGAGAGGAUGAUCAGCCACACUGGAACUGAGACACGGUCCGGACUCCUACGGGAGGCAGCAGUGGGGAAUAUUGGACAAUGGGCGCAAGCCUGAUCCAGCCAUACCGCGUGGGUGAAGAAGGCCUUCGGGUUGUAAAGCCCUUUUGUUGGGAAAGAAAAGCAGCAGGUUAAUACCCCGCUGUUCUGACGGUACCCAAAGAAUAAGCACCGGCUAACUUCGUG